GACGAACGCUGGCGGCGUGCUUAACACAUGCAAGUCGAACGGAAAGGCCCUGCUUUUGUGGGGUGCUCGAGUGGCGAACGGGUGAGUAACACGUGAGUAACCUGCCCUUGACUUUGGGAUAACUUCAGGAAACUGGGGCUAAUACCGGAUAGGAGCUCCUGCUGCAUGGUGGGGGUUGGAAAGUUUCGGCGGUUGGGGAUGGACUCGCGGCUUAUCAGCUUGUUGGUGGGGUAGUGGCUUACCAAGGCUUUGACGGGUAGCCGGCCUGAGAGGGUGACCGGCCACAUUGGGACUGAGGUCCGGCCCAGACUCCUACGGGAGGCAGCAGUGGGGAAUAUUGCACAAUGGGCGGAAGCCUGAUGCAGCAACGCCGCGUGCGGGAUGACGGCCUUCGGGUUGUAAACCGCUUUCGCCUGUGACGAAGCGUGAGUGACGGUAAUGGGUAAAGAAGCACCGGCUAACUACGUG
rnacentral:rRNA from 1 species